rnacentral:rRNA from 1 species
UACGUAGGGUGCAAGCGUUAAUUGGAAUUACUGGGCGUAAAGCGUGCGCAGGCGGCUUUGCAAGACAGAUGUGAAAUCCCCGGGCUUAACCUGGGAACUGCAUUUGUGACUGCAUGGCUGGAGUGCGGCAGAGGGGGAUGGAAUUCCGCGUGUAGCAGUGAAAUGCGUAGAUAUGCGGAGGAACACCGAUGGCGAAGGCAGUCCCCUGGGCCUGCACUGACGCUCAUGCACGAAAGCGUGGGGAGCAAACAGG